AGGCGCCGCGCGGUCACGUGGAUAUCUGAAUUGCGCGUUAAUCACCUCAGCAAUUGAACACCGGUGUCAUUAGUUUGUGUAGUGGUCGUUAAUUGUACUUUGCAGUAGUGCAGGCAAAGGAAGCGUUAGACUCUCUAGCUUCCAUGGAGCUGAUUUUGCCGUGGGUACUGAGCGCUGGCAGCAGGGAGUGUGGUGCUGGAGGCCUGGUGUUCCCUGUCUGAUUUACUCCAUGGCGACGCCGGACAGCAGUAGGAGCGAGCCGAAAAAAAUCCUAUCCCACAAACGAAAUGUCGUCUAAAACCUCCAAUAUCUCACCCUGACUUCACUCAACGUGGCGGUGAGUAGCAGCGUCCGCCGCCUGUCACGGGACUGUCUACCUCCACUAAUGACCGACUUGGUGACGUCUGACGCCUCCAAGUCCCUGAUUUCUGUUACAGAAUACCACCACCACCUCCUCCUCCUCCUCCUCCUCCUCCUCCUCCUCCUCCUCCUACCUUGACAUUGCCACCUCAUCCCCUCGCGUGCUUUCCUCAGCCUCCGAUCAUCACAUCAUGACCUGCCGUGCCUGUCUUCCUGAACUCCUCCUCCUCCUCCUCCUACCUUGACAUUGCCACCUCACCCCCUCGCGUGCUUUCCUCAGCCUCCGCUCAUCACAUCAUGACCUGCCGUGCCUGUCUUCCUGAAUGGCAGCCGCGAUGUCUUCAUCUUCAACUUGCGCCUCAUUUCCUGCAAACUCGUACGUCUUCUUGAGCGGCAGGUUUGCAAGCGAGAUAAAAAGAAAAGGAAAAAAAGGACAAAAGGAAAAAUAAAGAAAAAGAAAAAAACGAAGAGAGAAAACGGACAGUAGGAAGCGAACUGAAAUGCUGAAACGAUAUCGAAUGAAAAUAAAUAAAUAAAUACUACUUUUCAAAGACGGAUAUUCAAGUGCAAGAUGAGCCUUGAAAUUUUCAUAUUACUAAACAAAUACUUAAAGAAUAAAAAAAAACUUUUGAUCAAUAAGGGCUUCAAUUGUAAACACCCAUUGAAAUCUUGCAAGGCCACAAAAAAAAAGGCUAAACACAAUGAAUCGGAUUAAAA